GCAUAACGCGAAGAACCUUACCAGGCCUUGACAUCCAAUGAACUUUCUAGAGAUAGAUUGGUGCCUUCGGGAACAUUGAGACAGGUGCUGCAUGGCUGUCGUCAGCUCGUGUCGUGAGAUGUUGGGUUAAGUCCCGUAACGAGCGCAACCCUUGUCCUUAGUUACCAGCACGUAAUGGUGGGCGACUCUAAGGAGACUGCCGGUGACAAACCGGACGGAAGGUGGGGAGUGGACGUCAAGUCAUCAUGGCCCUUACGGCCUGGGCUACACACGUGCUACAAUGGUCGGUACAGAGGGUUGCCAAGCCCGCGAGGUGGAGCUAAUCCCAUAAAACCGAUCGUAGUCCGGAUCGCAGUCUGCAACUCGACUGCGUGAAGUCGGAAUCGCUAGUAAUCGCGAAUCAGAAUGUCGCGGUGAAUACGUUCCCGGGUCUUGUACACACCGAGUCGUGGGAGGGCAAGGGCACACAGGGGGGGGAUA
rnacentral:rRNA from 1 species